UUCAUUGGUCAUUUUGAAGACGAUAUUUCUCAUUUGUCGCACAGCUCCCCAGAUGAUUCCAUAGUGCAGCCAGUUCUGAGACUCCCUUGGAUAGAAAGACACCUGGGAUGCUUUGAGACCAUAAAGAGACUCCUCUCCUGCCUGAUAAGCUUCCAAAUGCUACUAAUGGGAGGUAACACAUAAGCUGAAUCUUGACAGAAAUUGCCACACAGAGAGGUAAAGCUACUUGUCCAAAAUCUCAAAGCUGGAAUACCGGAGAGCUGGGGAUUCAAACUCAGAAAGUCUGAUUCUAGGCUCUGUUCUGCUGCCCCCUGGGACAAGGAACCAGUUCUGACAACAGGAGUUGGCUGGCAAACAAGGGCAUUGUUGUGAAGUCAAACACAACAAAACCAAAGGACAACUACAAGCCUAUGCAGAGAUAAGAAUUUAUUGGGGAAAUUAAUUUGUCUGCUGGCCAUGAACUGGGCAACAGAGCAAAGCGAGCCUUGUACAAGUAAAAUUCUGUCCACAUUCUAAUGGCUGUAACACUCACCCUAUGAAACUAAUAAAGGGUGCAUAAAACAU